rnacentral:rRNA from 1 species
GAUGAACGCUAGCGGGAGGCCUAACGCAUGCAAGCCGAGCGGUAUUGUUUCUUCGGAAAUGAGAGAGCGGCGUACGGGUGCGUAACACGUGUGCAACCUGCCUUUAUCUGGGGGAUAGCCUUUCGAAAGGAAGAUUAAUACUCCAUAAUAUAUUGAACGGCAUCGUUUAAUAUUGAAAGCUCCGGCGGAUAGAGAUGGGCACGCGCAAGAUUAGCUAGUUGGUGAGGUAAUGGCUCACCAAGGCGAUGAUCUUUAGGGGGCCUGAGAGGGUGAUCCCCCACACUGGUACUGAGACACGGACCAGACUCCUACGGGAGGCAGCAGUGAGGAAUAUUGGUCAAUGGGUGCAAGCCUGAACCAGCCAUCCCGCGUGAAGGACGACUGCCCUAUGGGUUGUAAACUUCUUUUGUAUAGGGAUAAACCUACCCUCGAGAGGGUAGCUGAAGGUACUAUACGAAUAAGCACCGGCUAACUCCGUG